UAGGAAUUGAAAAUAGAAUAAAAAUAGAAAAUAAAUAGAACAUUUAAUCUAACUGUAUAUCACAAAUCAACAUAUGUGCCAUUAAUGAUUCCAUCUUUGUCUGAAAAUAUUUUUUAAUACAAAAUGGCUGCAAUAAAAGCAUUCCUCUGCCAUAUAAAGACACAGUGUACAAUACAAGAAGAAAAAACUAAGGAAUUAAAUCUAAUUAUUGAAAUUGCAACCAAAAAUGGAUAUAUGUCAUCCCUAGUAAUGAAAAUAUAUAGAAACUUAGAAACCUUGAACAAUAGGUGCACCCACACUCAUACAAUUCAGGUAAGUCAGUCUUAACUAAGAACAAUGCCAAUUUAUAGUAAACCAAUAGAAUAUGAUCUAUCACCAUGUCACAUAACGUCAGAACUUAAAAAAAGGCUAAAUAUAGAACUUUAAUAUACAUGACAAAAACAAUGUAUAAUAGGCUAUGGAAUGAUAAAUCUAAACAGCACUGUCAUAUGAGGCGUUGUGGAUAUGAAGGGCAAACUCAACAAAUGCUGAUUUUGAGAAAAAUGCGUUUCAAGUUUUAAGUGAAGGGCGAACUCAACAUAAAAGUUUAAGC
rnacentral:lncRNA from 1 species